AAAAAAUGGCAGCAAAGAAAGGGUUUAGAAGCUGGAAACUUUCAGCAAAGAAACUCCCUUUAUAAGUUUCCAGGUUAGCUCGGGUUGGAGGCCGUCAGAGAUAUUAUCACACUGUCAAGCUAACGCUAUUGGUGUAGUGAUUUCAAGUACUUUGAGCCUAUGGCAUGUAUAGGAGUUUAAAUAUCAGAGUAUAUGAUAUGGCUUUAACCAUAUGUGUUGGCCUAUUUUGAUUAUGGGGUUGUAAAUCUAUUUUAAUUAUGCAUGCAUGUGCUAUGGUAUUAUGUGAUGAGUUUAUAAUGAUUAUAGUAUGAAUAUGGUAAAGAUGUGAGUAAAAUCUAUGAUAUCUAUUGCAUGUGAAA